rnacentral:rRNA from 1 species
GACAGAGGGUGCAAACGUUGUUCGGAAUUACUGGGCGUAAAGCGCGUGUAGGCGGUCUUAUAAGUCGGGUGUGAAAGCCCCGGGCUCAACCCGGGAAGUGCACUCGAAACUGUGAGGCUAGAGUAUCGGAGAGGUUGGUGGAAUUCUCGGUGUAGAGGUGAAAUUCGUAGAUAUCGAGAGGAACACCGGUGGCGAAGGCGGCCAACUGGACGAAUACUGACGCUGAGACUCGAAAGCGUGGGGAGCAAACAGG